rnacentral:rRNA from 1 species
GGCCGCGGGAAUUCGAUUCAGGCCUAACACAUGCAAGUCGAACGGUGAACUUCCCUUCGGGGAGGGGAUCAGUGGCGAACGGGUGAGUAACACGUGAGCAAUCUGCCUUUCACUUUGGGAUAACCCCGGGAAACCGGGGCUAAUACCGAAUACGAACUCUGUUGGCAUCAACGGAGUUGGAAAGUUUUUCGGUGAAAGAUGAGCUCGCGGCCUAUCAGCUUGUUGGUGGGGUAACGGCCCACCAAGGCGACGACGGGUAGCCGGCCUGAGAGGGCGGCCGGCCACACUGGGACUGAGACACGGCCCAGACUCCUACGGGAGGCAGCAGUGGGGAAUAUUGGGCAAUGAGGGAAAGCCUGACCCAGCGACGCCGCGUGCGGGAUCUUUACGGGCGGGUUGUAAACCGCUUCAGCAGGGAAGAAGCGAAA